GCUGAGGGUGAUUUCCAUGCCGGCGCCAAAUCCGCCGGGUCCUCCCCGCCUCCGGCGGCCUCGUCAGCGCUGGAGGGGGUGGGGACCUGCGGAUUUGGCGGCUGGUGUAUGUACGCUACUCUACUAGUCUUGGAUUAGGUAGGUUAGGGUUAGGUUUGACCGUGCCGACGCUGCGGCGUGGUCUCAUCUUCCUAUGUUGCUGUGGCUCCAGCGUGCGACGGCGGAGAGGUGGGGAGGUUGACGCCAUGCCGAGUCUUGGCGUGGGCUCCUCCGACAUCUUCAGCGGUUUCCCCGACAUCACGAGCGGCGGCAACAUCAGGUUGGGAUCUGGUUCCCACCUUCUAUGGUGGUUUUGUUCCCCUUCGAGUUGUGUCGUUCUUCGGUGAGUCGGGCUGCUGGUGGCCUUUGAGGCGUCAGAUCCCAUGUCUCCUGGCGAUAUGAUGGCCGAUGGCCAUCUUCUUCAGCCAGGGCGUUCAGCGAGUAUACAACAUGUCGAUGUAUUCGGCGUGCGGCUCUUGGCGGCAUCAAAAAACUGUGAAGUUCCAUCAUCAGGAAGGAGGUCGGCUUCAAGCUGCACAUGGCUGCUCCGAUCGCCGGCGACAAGGGUGACCGGGAGGAUCUUGCAAGGAUUGAGCUGUAGUUUUUAUUUUCUUCAAGGGUGUCUUUGUAAGAGUUCGAAUGAAAACUUUAAGAAGUAUAUGUCAUAUAUAUUUCAGGUUUCUAAAAAAA